GUGUCAGUUUCGGGUAAAGAGCUCUCGAAAGCGCAAAGUCUCCAAAAAGGUUACAAGGGUUCCAGCGCCUCCCCAAGUCACCGAAGCCUGGGCCGCCCCUGCAGCAGGAAGGGUUCGUACCCGGGGGGGAGGGAACCACCCCAAGCGCGUGUGUUAACGAACCCCAAGCGAGUUUCGGGGCUUGAAAGCGCUACCGGGGCAGCCAGAUUACUACCUCCCACUCUCGCCUCCAUCCCUCCCCGCCCCUUGCCCGUCCCACGGGCCUCGGAUUUGGGCGUAGGGCUGGGUAGGGCGCCUGGGAGGGGCCAGAGGGGGCGGAUCAGGCCGGGAUUUGGCUCCAGGUACCCCCACCCGCCCGCGUCCCGGGGUCGCCAGCUGACUCCAUGUGAGCCCACUUGGCACCGGCCCCCCGAGGGAUCCUGCGACGCGAGGGGUGCCCGUUUGCAGUGAUCCGCGGACUCUCGAACCCUAAACCCCGGGGCCCAGCUCUGCCCCGGCGUGGAUCUUCGGGAAACCGGAGGGGAGGCUCGUGGAGACCUGGGAGGAGCUGCGCUGACUGGGGCAGGGGACGCCCAGAUUGGAUCGGUUCCGAGCUCUCGUCGCCCCCGAGGAGGGCACGACGCGCUGACAAACGUGGCCGUCAACACCUCGAGCUGCCCCGGCGAGUUAUUUCAACAGACUGGGAAAGAGCCGUACUAUUUGAGUGGCAGGCGACGCCUUUCCCCACUCUCGAUGCACGCAAACUGCAGAGCUGAAAUGAACUGAGCUAAGAGCGGAAUUGAAAUACACCAGGGGUUUCCCUGCAGGAAUUGUUCCAACAAGGUAUCCACGGGUUUCAAGAUCCGUUGAAAUGCUUCAGGUGUGGUUUGCAUUCUCACCGACCCUCGGGCCAGUUCCCUCGCCCCCAACCGCCGUUAUUUGUUCCCCCCACCUACUUCAAUAGUUGCGCCUCACCCUUCCUUGGCGACAUUAAAUCAGCACCCCGCACCCCCGCCAGUUUUGCAACUUCUUCUCCUUGCCCUUUAAAAGAGUUACACUUUCUAAGAAGACUUAAAAAAAAAAAAAAGGACAAGAAAUGGAGAUAGGUUUUGUAAGUGUUAAAUAACUUUCUCAGCGUGUAUUAAAGGAAGAUUGUAUUUUAUCAA